CAACAGUAUCUAGCCACAUAUAAAAAAAAAUUGUUACAAUUGUAUGUAAUGUGCCGAUUUUUCCUCAAAAUUUUAAAUGAUGGUAAAUUUAUGUACAAUGUAGAAGUUUUUUUAGCUGCAUUUAUUUACAAGUGUGGCAAAUAUAUUAAAAUAAAAUGAAUUGAUAAAAUAAUUUUGGUAAAAAAAAAUUCUUGAAAAAAAUGAAAGCUAUUUAAUUUAAUAUAUAUUUUUUUAAAAAAUAAUUUAAUAUAUUCUACUAAACCAAAAUAAAAGUCCUGCGUCUUUUCAUUCUCCUGCCCAUUCUCUCAAAUAUUCCCUCUCAAAUCUUAAUUCAUUUAAAUUUUUCUUUCUCCCGCUCUUUUCCCUAAAAUAGUCUCCUCUCAAAUCCUCAAUUCUUUUUGGUAAAUCCUGUUCUCGGUCGAUUGAGACCUAAGCAUCGAAAGACCAACUCAAAGAUUAAAUCAUCCUUGAGCAAGAGGAGUUUUGUAGCAGUAGCCAAAAGAGAAAUCGUCCAUAUCAAUAGGCAAAGGAAUAUCGAAUCGUUCUAGUCUACAAAGUCUUCCAAAUCAGAAGGUAUACAGUUGGAUGAAGACCUUUAAGACAUUAUCUUGCUCAUAUUUAUAAAAUGGAAGGAUCACGAAGAUCUCCAAGAAAUGAUGGAUCAAAGUCCAUGAACUCAACCAAGCAUUUUUCAUAUAAUUUAGUAUCUCCAUUUGUAGUUGUAAAGCAAUGUAAUAUCUCAACAACUUAAAUACUAAUAUUUUGUUUAUUGUGUAUAUUUUAGAUGACAUUAGAUAUCUUAUUUGAACAUUCUCAUAUUUGAAUAUUUUUGUAUUUAAACUUUAUGUAUUAUAGAUACA